CUUGGGAGCUCCUUUUCCUGGAGCUGGAGCCUGCCUGGAUGCCUUUGAAGAGGCUUUUUUUGCAUUUGUUGGAAAACCAGAGGACAACAAGCUCUGAAUCCACUGUCCUGCCUGGAGCAGAGCCUGCAGGGAGGGGUGCCCUGGGCUGCUGGAGAGUUUAUCCCUUAGGCUGGAUGAAAUGAACUCAUGAGAGCCUCUCAGAAGGCUGUUUGGAAGAGAGAAAUAUUUUUAAUGGAGUUCCAAACAGGAAACCACCAGUGUCCAGGGAAGAAGCAAAUACUACAGGAUAGAAAACAAAAUUCUUCUGGUCAAUUGAUAAAGUGCAGAAACAAACACAGGUAUUUGGUGUCUUACACUGCUUUGUGUCAUAAUUGAGUUGAACAGAAUUGCAUGACACAAACAAGUCAGUGCUUGUCAGCAGGUUAAGAACAAAUGCACUGAACUGAGAACUGCUGCAGGGCUGGCUAAAGCCAAGCUGG